rnacentral:lncRNA from 1 species
AUGGCGGCCGCUGUGAAAAAGGAGCUGAAGCAGCUGGGGGAGAGGAUGAGGAAGAAGCACGUGGAGGAUCGGAAGCGCUACCAAGGGCUCUUCCAGCCGCCCCGGGGGCCACGGGCCAGCGAGGGGCAGGAGAGCGGGGAGGUGGGCGACAGGGCGAUGCCACAGAAAGAGGCACCCCAGGGUGAGGUUGGGGUCCCAGAGACCCCUGGGCAGGGGGAGCGGGGUGCAGGGACCGAAGAAGCAGCACAACCAGGGGCUGACCAAGCAGAACAAGGGACCCCUGGGGCCGGGUGUAAAGGAGCAGCACCAGAAGGAGAAGCACCCCAGGAGCAGCCAGCAGAGGUGGAAGGGAGGGAUGGGACAGAAUUGGGGGAAGAAGCAAACCUGGGCACCUGUGGAGCAAAGCCGGAGAGCAGGGGAGCAGAGAUAGGGGCAGAGGAGGAAGAUGAUAAAGAGGAGGAGGAGGAGGAGGGGGAAGAAGUAGGGGAAGAGGAAGAGAAGGUGGAGGAAGAAGAAGAAGAAGGGGAAGAGGGAGAGAAGGUGGAGGAGGAGGAAAAAGAAGGGGAAGAGGGAGAGAAGGUGGAGGAGGAGGAAGAAGAAGGGGAAGAGGGAGAGAAGGCGGAGGAAAAAGAAGAAGAAGGGGAAGAGGAACACGUGGAGGGGGAAGAGAAAGAGGAGAGGAAGGAGGAGGAAGAAGAAAAAGAAGAGAGAGAGGAGGAGGAAGAAGAGGGGGAGAAGGUGGAGGAGGAAGAAAAAGAGGAGAGGGAGGAGGAGGAGAAAGAAGAAGAGAGCCCAGCAGCAGAGAUGGAAAAGCUGGCUGUAGGGCAAUGUGGGGCAACAGGAGGUAUGGAAGCAGAAGAGCUCAGGCCGGGGCUGGAGCAGGGAGUCAGUUUGCAGCCUGGCACAGGGAGCAUGGCCAAGGCUGAGCCAGGUGGAGCCCCAGAGCUCCCCGGCGAGGGGCUGGAGCCAGCCGAGGGGCCCCCAGAGAUGGAGGAUGAAACCUCCGGAGAGGAGCUGGAAGAGGGGAGCUGUGGGGAGCAGCGAGCAGGUAGCGGCCCAGGAAAUGCUGGGGAAGGCAGCAUCCCCCCAGAGAGCAUCACCCCUGGGGUGGUGCUCCAGGCUGGGGGCUCGGCAGCAGACGAGGAGCUGGGUGGAGGGGCAGAGGUACCCCCCUGCCCCAUAGCAGUCAUGGAAGGAAGCGGUGCACCCCCAGAAUGGUGCAGCGAGAGCAGGGAGAUCGGAGCCACAACCCUGGGGCAUGGCCAGCCCUGA